UACGUAAGGAGCAAGCGUUGUCCGGAAUCAUUGGGCGUAAAGCGCGCGUAGGUGGCUUCGUAAGUCCGUUGUGAAAGUCAAAGGCUCAACCUUUGAAAGCCGAUGGAUACUGCGGAGCUAGAGUACGGAAGAGGCGAGUGGAAUUCCUGGUGUAGCGGUGGAAUGCGCAGAUAUCAGGAGGAACACCAAUAGCGAAGGCAGCUCGCUGGGACGUUACUGACACUGAGGCGCGAAAGCGUGGGGAGCGAACAGG
rnacentral:rRNA from 1 species